rnacentral:rRNA from 1 species
UACGAAGGGGGCUAGCGUUGUUCGGAAUCACUGGGCGUAAAGCGCAUGUAGGCGGGUCUUUAAGUCAGGGGUGAAAUGCCAAGGCUCAACCUUGGAACUGCCUUUGAUACUGGAGACCUUGAGUCCGGGAGAGGUGAGUGGAACUGCGAGUGUAGAGGUGAAAUUCGUAGAUAUUCGCAAGAACACCAGUGGCGAAGGCGGCUCACUGGCCCGGUACUGACGCUGAGAUGCGAAAGCUAGGGGAGCGAACGGG